GGGUUGUGAGGUUAAGCGACUAAGCGUACACGGUGGAUGCCCUGGCAGUCAGAGGCGAUGAAGGACGUGCUAAUCUGCGAAAAGCGUCGGUAAGGUGAUAUGAACCGUUAUAACCGGCGAUGUCCGAAUGGGGAAACCCAGUGCAAUUCGUUGCACUAUCGUUAACUGAAUACAUAGGUUAACGAGGCGAACCGGGGGAACUGAAACAUCUAAGUACCCCGAGGAAAAGAAAUCAACCGAGAUUCCCCCAGUAGCGGCGAGCGAACGGGGAGCAGCCCAGAGUCUGAAUCAGCUUGUGUGUUAGUGGAACGGUCUGGAAAGUCCGACGGUACAGGGUGAUAGUCCCGUACACCAAAAUGCACAGGCUGUGAACUCGAAGAGUAGGGCGGGACACGUGGUAUCCUGUCUGAAUAUGGGGGGACCAUCCUCCAAGGCUAAAUACUCCUGACUGACCGAUAGUGAACCAGUACCGUGAGGGAAAGGCGAAAAGAACCCCGGCGAGGGGAGUGAAAAAGAACCUGAAACCGUGUACGUACAAGCAGUGGGAGCACCUUCGGGUGUGACUGCGUACCUUUUGUAUAAUGGGUCAGCGACUUAUAUUCUGUAGCAAGGUUAACCGUAUAGGGGAGCCGCAGGGAAACCGAGUCUUAACUGGGCGUUAAGUUGCAGGGUAUAGACCCGAAACCCGGUGAUCUAGCCAUGGGCAGGUUGAAGGUUGGGUAACACUAACUGGAGGACCGAACCGACUAAUGUUGAAAAAUUAGCGGAUGACUUGUGGCUGGGGGUGAAAGGCCAAUCAAACCGGGAGAUAGCUGGUUCUCCCCGAAAGCUAUUUAGGUAGCGCCUCGUGAACUCAUCUUCGGGGGUAGAGCACUGUUUCGGCUAGGGGGUCAUCCCGACUUACCAACCCGAUGCAAACUACGAAUACCGAAGAAUGUUAUCACGGGAGACACACGGCGGGUGCUAACGUCCGUCGUGAAGAGGGAAACAACCCAGACCGCCAGCUAAGGUCCCAAAGUCAUGGUUAAGUGGGAAACGAUGUGGGAAGGCACAGACAGCCAGGAUGUUGGCUUAGAAGCAGCCAUCAUUUAAAGAAAGCGUAAUAGCUCACUGGUCGAGUCGGCCUGCGCGGAAGAUGUAACGGGGCUAAACCAUGCACCGAAGCUGCGGCAGCGACACUAUGUGUUGUUGGGUAGGGGAGCGUUCUGUAAGCCUGCGAAGGUGACCUGUGAGGGUUGCUGGAGGUAUCAGAAGUGCGAAUGCUGACAUAAGUAACGAUAAAGCGGGUGAAAAGCCCGCUCGCCGGAAGACCAAGGGUUCCUGUCCAACGUUAAUCGGGGCAGGGUGAGUCGACCCCUAAGGCGAGGCCGAAAGGCGUAGUCGAUGGGAAACAGGUUAAUAUUCCUGUACUUGGUGUUACUGCGAAGGGGGGACGGAGAAGGCUAUGUUAGCCGGGCGACGGUUGUCCCGGUUUAAGCAUGUAGGCUGAUUAUCCAGGCAAAUCCGGAUAAUCAAGGCUGAGGUGUGAUGACGAGGCACUACGGUGCUGAAGUAACAAAUGCCCUGCUUCCAGGAAAAGCCUCUAAGCAUCAGGUAACAUCAAAUCGUACCCCAAACCGACACAGGUGGUCAGGUAGAGAAUACCAAGGCGCUUGAGAGAACUCGGGUGAAGGAACUAGGCAAAAUGGUGCCGUAACUUCGGGAGAAGGCACGCUGGUGUGUAGGUGAAGUCCCUGCGGAUGGAGCUGAGACCAGUCGAAGAUACCAGCUGGCUGCAACUGUUUAUUAAAAACACAGCACUGUGCAAACACGAAAGUGGACGUAUACGGUGUGACGCCUGCCCGGUGCCGGAAGGUUAAUUGAUGGGGUUAUCCGUAAGGAGAAGCUCUUGAUCGAAGCCCCGGUAAACGGCGGCCGUAACUAUAACGGUCCUAAGGUAGCGAAAUUCCUUGUCGGGUAAGUUCCGACCUGCACGAAUGGCGUAAUGAUGGCCAGGCUGUCUCCACCCGAGACUCAGUGAAAUUGAACUCGCUGUGAAGAUGCAGUGUACCCGCGGCAAGACGGAAAGACCCCGUGAACCUUUACUAUAGCUUGACACUGAACAUUGAGCCUUGAUGUGUAGGAUAGGUGGGAGGCUUUGAAGCGUGGACGCCAGUCUGCGUGGAGCCAACCUUGAAAUACCACCCUUUAAUGUUUGAUGUUCUAACGUUGGCCCCUGACCGGGGUUGCGGACAGUGUCUGGUGGGUAGUUUGACUGGGGCGGUCUCCUCCCAAAGCGUAACGGAGGAGCACGAAGGUUAGCUAAUCCUGGUCGGACAUCAGGAGGUUAGUGCAAUGGCAUAAGCUAGCUUGACUGCGAGCGUGACGGCGCGAGCAGGUGCGAAAGCAGGUCAUAGUGAUCCGGUGGUUCUGAAUGGAAGGGCCAUCGCUCAACGGAUAAAAGGUACUCCGGGGAUAACAGGCUGAUACCGCCCAAGAGUUCAUAUCGACGGCGGUGUUUGGCACCUCGAUGUCGGCUCAUCACAUCCUGGGGCUGAAGUAGGUCCCAAGGGUAUGGCUGUUCGCCAUUUAAAGUGGUACGCGAGCUGGGUUUAGAACGUCGUGAGACAGUUCGGUCCCUAUCUGCCGUGGGCGCUGGAGAAUUGAGGGGGGCUGCUCCUAGUACGAGAGGACCGGAGUGGACGCAUCACUGGUGUUCGGGUUGUCAUGCCAAUGGCACUGCCCGGUAGCUAAAUGCGGAAGAGAUAAGUGCUGAAAGCAUCUAAGCACGAAACUUGCCCCGAGAUGAGUUCUCCCUGAGACUUUAAGUCUCCUGAAGGAACGUUAAAGACGAUGACGUUGAUAGGCCGGGUGUGUAAGCGCAGCGAUGCGUUGAGCUAACCGGUACUAAUGAACCGUGAGGCUUAACCUUACAACGCCGAAG
rnacentral:rRNA from 1 species